GACGAAGGUGGCGAGCGUUGUUCGGAAUCACUGGGCAUAAAGCGCACGUAGGUGGUGUCGUAAGUCGGGUGUGAAAUCCCUCGGCCUAACCGAGGAACUGCGCCCGAUACUGCGAUGCUUGAGGAUCAGAGGGGUGCAUGGAAUUUCCCGGUGGAGCGGUGAAAUGCGUUUGAUAUCGGAAGGAACUCCGGCGGCGAAAGCGAUGCACUGGCUGAUUUCUGACACUGAGGUGCGAAAGCCAGGGGAGCAAACGGG
rnacentral:rRNA from 1 species